AUUGAACGCUGGCGGAAUGCUUUACACAUGCAAGUCGAACGGCAGCACGGGGGCAACCCUGGUGGCGAGUGGCGAACGGGUGAGUAAUACAUCGGAAUGUGCCCAGUCGUGGGGGAUAACGUAGCGAAAGUUACGCUAAUACCGCAUACGAUCUACGGAUGAAAGCGGGGGACCGUAAGGCCUCGCGCGAUUGGAGCGGCCGAUGUCAGAUUAGGUAGUUGGUGAGGUAAAGGCUCACCAAGCCGACGAUCUGUAGCUGGUCUGAGAGGACGACCAGCCACACUGGGACUGAGACACGGCCCAGACUCCUACGGGAGGCAGCAGUGGGGAAUUUUGGACAAUGGGCGCAAGCCUGAUCCAGCCAUUCCGCGUGCAGGACGAAGGCCUUCGGGUUGUAAACUGCUUUUGUACGGAACGAAAAGGCUCUGGUUAAUACCCGGGGCUCAUGACGGUACCGUAAGAAUAAGCACCGGCUAACUACGUGCCAGCCGCCGCCGUAAAAC
rnacentral:rRNA from 1 species